rnacentral:rRNA from 1 species
CGCCGGGCGCCCUCGUUGGUCUUGAAGCUCGACUUUGCCAAAGCCUUCGACUCCAUCAACUAGGGGAGCCUUCGCCGGAUUAUGGAGGUGUGUGGCUUGCCGUCUCUCUGGUGCGACUGGAUGGACUCCAUCUUCCAGUCGUCCAUGUCCGCGGUGGUGCUCAAUGGCGUGCCUGGGCGAUGGAUCCAAUGCAAGAAGGGGUUGCGGCAGGGGGACCCCCUCUCCCCCUACCUGUUCCUCCUCGUCGCGGACGUGCUAGAACAGAUGAUC